UGCUUUCUAUGUGAUGUAUGAUUCACAUUGGGGGAUAUACCAUAGACUUUUCUGAUCUGGAAAUGUUUUCUGUCUCUCCUUUGCCUUCAUAUGCGCACAUGUAAAUCCCUACAAUGGCAGGGAGGUAAGGAAACAGCCCACUAUUUCCUUGCAGUUGUCAGAUAUCCAUCUUAUUACCCUAAAUUUCUCCUUCUAGUUAGUUGAAUCAAAAUAUAUGUUGUCCAUCACUGGCAUCCAGAAGAAAACACAGAACCCUCCAAAGCCUAUUACUAAAGUAAUACUACUAAAGAUAGAAAUGCUGUCUUCUUUAUUUUAACUGUGUGAGCAAUACUUAUUUACCUGGUCAUAGCUGCAAAUACCUGAAAAAACUUCUAUGCAUUCCUCAUCUUGGAGUGUCAGAGCAGAGCUGCUGGACAGCACUCAUUUUUAUCCUCUUCUCUAUGACUUUUGAACUUAGGAUCCAAGCCUUUCUGGAACCAACCAAAUGCAUAUGGGCUGUAAACCUUGGAAUCAAAAGUCACGCACUGGCUUAUGGGAGAAGCACAAGGUCCCAUGUUUCUGAGAUCUGAUGAGAAGAAAGGAAUAAUUUGGGCCUUUGAGACCAUGUCCCUUACCCCCCGCCAAAGUGUCAAGACUCACAUCUUUAAUUCAACAAUCUUUGUAUUAAUUACCUCUGGAUAAGAGAUGGGAGGAUUGAAACUGAAGAGGACUUGAACAAGACUGGCUGUAGGGCUUGGAAAGCUGCAGGCAAUGUGGGAACACAACUUGUGUCCCUGACUCCUCCCAGAAGAUGACUGGCCAUCCUUCACCUUAUUGUAACGGAGAUACUCAGUUGUGUUUGGAGGCUGGGACCUGUGUGCUCAAGAGACAGUGUACUUUGUGUGUGGGUAACAGGGCUGACUCCAGCAUGCUGCCUGUGCAUAUACCUCCAUUGCAAUGAAGUGCUUUGGGACAUUGCAUUGGUGAAUGUUAAUAGGGUUUUUCAGCCCUUAAGCUUAGUUCUCACCUCAGAGUUGCCAGUGUAACUUCUCCAGAUCAGUGAGACGAGCCAUGAGCCUUGUGUCCCUUUAAGAGCUAACACACAUAUCAUCUGAGGGAAGCAAAAGCUGUUAGAUAAAAUAUUAGCUGUGAUGUUUCAAAGCUUGACCUAUGAAGAUGGUAGGGUCCAAAGAUUUGGCAUAUUACAUUUUCAGAGCUGACACCUGAAUGGUUUCACUGGACUUUGGCAGAAAGACACACCUGAUGGCUCUUCAAAAGAUUUUCUGCAUGUACAAAAGAUCUAAUGAUAUAGGCCCAUUUUUUUGUUCCUACCUGACAGUGUUUUUCACCUUGUCUACCAUUCUGGGACCCUUUGCUUAAUGCAGAGCUGUCCCAUUUGCCCAGUUAUCUCAGAAGGUGUGUCAGUGGUAACGGGGUGCUGGAAGCUUCAGUUUUGCCAUCAGAGCUAUUAACUGUGUCAUUAGAUCAGAUUAAAGCCUGUGUUUUUGAAAUGGUAUGUGUAGUCGCCACUGCUUGGCCCCCUAAUUUACAUUGAAAUCAGCUGAAAUGAAAGAUAACCAGGAGAAAAGAGGCCAGUCCUUUUAUUUUAUCAGAAAGUCUAAAAAUGUUGACACAGCAAGACACAGAGCACCUAUUCAAUCCUCCCCCGCUCUAGAUGGUGAAAGGUACCAACAACACCUUGAAACCACUGUGGGAGCUUGACCCAAGAGCUGCUUGCAUACUGCUGUGGCUCAUUGUGCUAGGCCACAGAGAUUUUCAUCCUACUACAUUUCCUCAUCCCCUAGAGGCAGACUUGUCAAGAAGCCUUUUGUCUGGCACAGUGUUUUCAAAUCCAAACUCUGAUAAUUAUCUGUGGUUCUGCUGCUGACUUGAAAGGCAAUUGCUAGGCAUUGAAUCCCCAUUCCCUUCAGUACAAAAAUUAAGAGUAAGGAGAAGAAGCAUUUCUGUGCCUGCUUCUCUCUCCAGCACUUGACACCAAAUGCACAUGUGAGGCUGACCGUCAAAGAUAAAUGAGUUCAAUAGAAAAGAGCAGGCGCAUACUUGGAUCUCCAUGUAAUACAGUACAAAUCAGUAGAAAGUGCAACACAAAGGCUUUGCAUGGCAGACUCUGCUAAUCAGAAGAGGUGAGUGUUUUAGCAUAUUUAAACGAGGUGAGGGCAUCCACUAAUCAAACAACAGAAUCCAGAGGUACUGAAAGAGCAAGGGAAAGGCUGUUGCUUAAAACUUUUCCACACGGAUGUCGUAUUUUUGAAAUAUCAUUAAAUGUGAUGAUCUAGGUUUAUAGAAAGAUAAUGAGCUAAGUAACAAAUAUGUCAAAACUAAACUAUUAAACACUGUAAUUAUGCUGGAUACAGAUUAGUUGCUGAAAAAGUUUCCCAUUAUUGCACUCUAACUGUCAGGAAAGUGCAGUAAAAUAAUGGGUUUUCUUUUCAUUUGAUUGAUUUAGCAUAAGGUACUAUGUGGUAACUUUUUAACAGCCUUCAUGGGAUGCAAUAAAAAUUGCAUCGGAAGCCUACAUCUUCUCCAAUAUAAAUUGGUGUGAAGUAUACAUAAGUGAUAAAAACUCAUUUUUCAUGCACAAGACUUUAAAAGCUUUCACACUAAGUACGCUAUUUAAAAAAUAUUACAUUUAUAGUUUCUCUUACAGUCUUCUACCUUUCUCUACUGUUUUUCAAAUCAAGGCCAGGUUGCCAUCACCUUCACUGACACUUGUCCUCUGCAGUAGCAAUAUUUUUUGUUAAUCAAUCAGGAAAGAGAAUUAGUUUUACAUCAACAUUUUAAAGAGAUAUUCUCUUAAAACCUCCCAGGGAAAAAAAUCACCUUUUACUGAGAAUUAUACAAUGUGUAUGAGCUUCCUAGGCCAAUAGAUCAUUGCCAUAUGAGUAUAACAAAGGUUAGUUAGCAGUCAUGGAUUUUCUUUGGGAAUAUUGCCUUCACAGAAGCAGAUCUCAAAGGAGAUGAGCUUAUUUUAAGCUGAUAUUCAUUAGAAAGCUGCUAAACCACUAGAGACAUUCUGGAUACAAAAUAGGAUAUCUGGCUUGUGUUUUCUUUUGUAGGUAAUAAGAGACAAUAUCUAUGAUC
rnacentral:lncRNA from 7 species